UACGUAGGGGGCUAGCGUUGUCCGGAAUCAUUGGGCGUAAAGCGCGCGUAGGCGGCCCGGUAAGUCCGCUGUGAAAGUCCAGGGCUCAACCCUGGAAAGCCGGUGGAUACUGCCGGGCUAGAGUCCGGAAGAGGCGAGUGGAACUCCUGGUGUAGCGGUGGAAUGCGCAGAUAUCAGGAAGAACACCAACGGCGAAGGCAGCUCGCUAGGACGGUACUGACGCUGAGACGCGAAAGCGUGGGGAGCGAACAGG
rnacentral:rRNA from 1 species